CCUACAGGACAGUAGCCUAGGUCUCCAGGAUCAGGGCUGGGAACCACUGACCUGAAGAACCAUAUAGCAUUUCCAUCGUGUCAGCAUCUGUAGAUUCUUUUUGAACAGGUAGCCUGGAGCGCCAGAAACAUACACUAUACCACUGCAAAACACACGAACACACUCUGACGUGCCAUGGUGACGACUACAAUGGUCUCCGAAUAUACAAAGGGAAACUAGCAUAUCAAUAUUUUAAUCAAAGGAAUAAAUUCUGCAGGAUAUAGAACGAGCGUGCAUGCAGGGCUCUCCUCCAAAGCAUGUGAUGUCACUCGAUGCUUAUCAUACAGCAAUUCCGGAAACCUGGGUCGGAAGAAGACGUUUCAUGCGCUGCUCAGCAGGCGACCUUGCAGGUGCAAGGUAGAUCAGCAGGGUCGCAAUGAUGGUGACCCAAACCUCCUACCCCAGCAGGGCUGCCAAACACAGCUGGCGUUGGGACGGUCAGGAUUCGAUAUCAGACCAUGGGGCUCAUCCACAUACUAGAACAGUGCCUUAAAGAGAUGCAGUAGUUCACUUCUUGGAGUUUUAAAAUAUUAUUUCAGUUUUGAUUGGCCCAAACAGUUUUUGUGUGUGAUGAAAGAUGUUACAUACUUGCAGAAGCGUCUGAUGACUAAAGCAAGAAAACACACUUAAAGAAAAUACAAAAUCCAAAGCAGUUUGUACAGCAAUGUUAUGUAUGCAGAGGUUUGGCACCAGUUUACUCUUUAGUAUUAUGAAAAACGAGAAUACACUAUUUAUUAUGUUUAAUUUGAUUUAAUAAAUUUGUCAUUUACAAAUACAGAUAACUCAAAAUAGUAUAAUUAUCAUAAGUUGUACAUGAGUGUAAAUAAAUUAUAUGCAUUGA